UGUAGACUAGUUAUGCUGAGCAAUCUAUAUAAGGCGCUGCACAUGACAUAUCAUCUAACAGACAUCCUCUGUUCGUUGUAGUGAAGGUUGAAUAUGAGGCCGAAGUCCAUCUAUAUAACUGUCUUGAUUGUGGCGUUUCUGCUUGCCUCUGAAAUGCCAAGAGUUGAUGGAUUUUUUUUGACUCUCGCUUUGACAAGAUAUGCAGUAAGAGGAAUCGGGCAAAUCAUUGAUUGUACAGCAAAAAGCUUUGGUGGCUUUGGUUGCGGGUCAAAACCCAAACCUCCACCUACACCUGAAAAACCACCUGUUGUUCUAUACAAACCAGAGUUGCACAUUAAUUGCAAUUCUAAGUCGAAGAACAAAUGCUA